rnacentral:misc_RNA from 1 species
AGCAGCCGCGGUAAUUCCAGCUCCAAUAGCGUAUAUUAAAGUUGUUGCAGUUAAAAGCUCGUAGUUGAAUUUCGGGAUCAGUUGGUCGGUCGUGCCUCGGUACGUACUGGUCAAAUUGAUUCCUACCUUCUGACGAACCACGAUGUCAUUAAUUUGGUGUCGCGGGAAAUCAGGACUGUUACUUUGAAAAAUUGAGUGUUUAAAGCAGGCUCGCGCUUGAAUACAUUAGCAUGGAAUAAUGAAAUAGGACGUUUGAUUCUAUUUUGUUGGUUUCUAGGAUCGACGUAAUGAUUAAUAGGGAUAGUUGGGGGCAUUAGUAUUCAAUUGUCAGAGGUGAAAUUCUUGGAUUUAUUGAAGACUAACUACUGCGAAAGCAUUUGCCAAGGAUGUUUUCAUUAAUCAAGAACGAAAGUUAGGGAUCGAAGACGAUCAGAUACCGUCGUAGUCUUAACCAUAAACUAUGCCGACUAGGGAUCGGAUGAUGUUAAUUUUUAAUGACUCAUUCGGCGCCUUAACC